rnacentral:rRNA from 1 species
CCCGCUGAACUUAAGCAUAUCAGUAAGCGGAGGAAAAGAAACUAACGAGGAUUCCCCCAGUAACGGCGAGUGAAGCGGGAACAGCCCAUGACGAUCACUUUUCGGAGUGGAUGAGUCGUAUAGAGUCAUUUGGUUGGCAGUGAAUGGCAGCAAGUUCCAUGGAAAGGGACGGCAGAGAGGGUGAGACCCCCGUGGCAGCAGUUCGCGUAGCCGGCAGCAAAAAUGGCACAUUGAGUCGGAUUGUUUGGGAAUGCAAUCCCAAUUGGGUGGUACGCGCCAUCUAAGGCUAAACAAGGGCAAGAGACCGAUAGCAAACAAGUACCGUGAGGGAAAGAUGAAAAGGACUCUGAAGAGAGAGUCAAAAGUGCGUGAAAUUGCAGCAAGGGAAACGGACGAGAGGUUAGGACAAGGAUCGGUUAACUAUCGAGGUCAUUUUAGAUGAAGGUGGCAGAACCAUAUGGUAUCUGGACAUAUAGCAACUAGGAUUGACAUUGAGUAGAGACGGAUACUUGAACGUCUUGUCUGACCCGUCUUGAAACACGG